AUGAACGUCACAGGAGCAGCAUCCAUGGCCGGCAGAAACACUAAGCAACCUAGUCUAAAUUGGGCGAGGCUUGCCUGCUCCGCGAAAAUGCUCCCAUCCGUGCUCCGUGGCAAAGCAGUAGCUCUUCCACGGCCGGCGAACACCGCGAUGUUGAUCUGCUUGCUUGUCGGAGCGGGAGGGUUUGCUCCGUGCUCGUCCCAUCGCGGCGCUCGUGAGCGAACUGCGCACCAACCCUGCGGCCACGACGUCCCUCGCCCCGCGCGGCGCUCGUAG
rnacentral:rRNA from 1 species